rnacentral:rRNA from 1 species
CCGCCCCGAAUUGUAGUCUAGAAAGGCGCCAUCGGCCGCGCCCGCCGCUCAAAUCCCUUGGAACAGGGUAUCGGAGAAGGUGAGAAUCCUGUACCGUGGCGGAUCGCGGCCGCACGAUGCGCCCUUGCAGAGUCGGGUUGCUUGGGAUUGCAGCUUGAAGUGGGUGGUAAAUUCCAUCUAAAGCUAAAUACUGGCUCAUGACCGAUAGCGAACAAGUACCGUGAGGGAAAGAUGCAAAGAACUUUGAAAAGAGAGUUAAAGAGUGCUUGAAAUCGGAGUGAGGAAACCCGUUUGCACCCGGUUUCGCGCCGUCGACUCAGCCGUCUCGAAGCGGUGCACUUUGUCGGCGCGGGUCCUGCGCGUCUAAGCUGCCGCUCACACUUUGUCGGGGGGGCUUCGGUGAGCCCGGCUCUUUGUGUGGCGUUUGGCCUCGCCGGACGUAACGGGUGCAACCGACCCGUCUAGAAACACGGACCAAGGAGUCUGACACGGAUGCGAGUACCCGGGUGGCAAGCCCGUGUGCGCAAUGAAAGUGAAGGGCGUGCCCCGCCAACCGACCUUGAUCUUCUGUGAAGGGUUUGAGUGGAGCAUCACUGUCGGGACCCGAAAGAUGGUGAACUAUGCCUGAGGAGGUUGAAGUCUGCCGAAAGGCAGAUGGAGGGCCGUAGCGAUACUGACGUGCAAAUCGUUCGUCGAACUUGGGUAUAGGGGCGAAAGACUAAUCGAACCAUCUAGUAGCUGGUUCCCUCCGAAGUUUCCCUCAGGAUAGCUUGGACGCAAGGGUUUUGU